rnacentral:lncRNA from 1 species
CUCUUGCCUAUGUCUACAGGGAUUGCCCUUGAGGUAAAGCCAGUGUAGGACAAGUGUAUCAUCUUCAGACACAUUCUUGCUCUCCAUUACUCACGCAUUUUCUCGCAACAGAACUCUAACACUUUGGUUCCCUUUCCCUUUCUCCUUCUCCUAUGAAACAAAAUUCCUGGAGGCCUUGAAAUCUGUGAAGAUCUACACGAGCUUGUCCACUACCACUUGUCAUUAUAGAAUCUGAGGGUUUCUUAGACCUCAGGAGUGGGGAACUUGAGGACCUUUCAAAGGAAGCGUCCGUCACCGCAUGCAACAGGUGUGCAUCUCCAAGAAGCGAAAUAUGAGAAACAUGCAACUGCCCCUCCCCCCAAGCGAUCCGCCUCAAAUCCAAAGACAAUGUAUGGUGUCCAGAUUGCCUACUUAAGAAAACACAGAGGACAUAUUCUCUCUACAAGGAUAUUCUUCAGUACCCAGUUGGAACUAUGGAUUCAAAAUUUUGAGUGCUAAAUAUUUUGCAGUGUACUUCGAGGGUGUCCACACACUGCUUUCUGGGGGCUGCAGAAACAGCAUUAUGAGCACAUCUCUAUGCACAUUACACCCUGGUGGACACGGAGUGUGCACUGAGAAUACUCCGCACACGCAAUUUUGAUUGAGAAGUUCUGACUUUAAGGCUUGGAAUCCCCAUUUACUAAAUUUAUAAACUUAGAUCAGACUCAUGUACUUGCCCUGUAAGAACCAUGGUCUGUCCUUGGGAAAAUGGCUCAGUACGUCCCACCUGUCCCUGAAGUUCCUGGGAGGAGGAGCA